GUCGCGACUUCGUUCGUCGGACACCAAUUUUCGCUUUAAUUUUUCGGCUUUCGGGCUUCGGAUAUUUUGUACAACCAGUAACAAUUCUUAUCAACAACGGAACCAAAAACACAACACAAUAAAGUACUAGUCUUUCGAAAGUGCAUUUUCAGUUGACGACACAACGGAAGGCUUUGAUGGCUUUGAUGAAUGCUAGUGCUGAGCAAAAUAGCUUUGACCGUUAACACUUUCCGGCUAGCAAAAAACAUUGGGAGGGCAAAUAUUGGUUGUAAUUUGUGCAAAUGUUGGGUUAAUGUAUUCUGCAAUUAAGUACAUUUUGAGUUUUAGAGGUUUUGACGAUCAUUCGCAAAAAAGUUAUUUGUUUCGUGAAUUGAACUAACAUCAGUUGUUUUACCAUUUUUUAUCAGGAGCGAAUUAUAAUUACAGGCGAGCGUACAUAAAGUUUGUUGUAUUCAAAUUCUUGUUACUUUUUGUAUAUAUUUUUGUUGUUUUUCAUUAUUUCGAAUUUGUAAUUCAUACUGUACAUAAUUCAUACAGAAAUAAAUCUUUAUCGCAUGUGUCUUAUAUUCCAGACAAUAGUCAGAACACUAACUUUAACUUGCCAAGUAUUUCUGUAUGAAAAGCGUUUCACCAAACCAAAACAAUAUUUUUGAGUGAAGUAAGGAAUACUCGUAUUUCAUAUACUAGUACUAUAUUUUAUAACAUUGUUUAAUAAACUCACUGUGUAGGAGCACAAUGAAUACAAAUUUUGACACUAAGUAUAAAAUCAAUAUUAGCGUCGUCGCUGCUUGUCUGGACAGUACUUUCUAGCAGAAUGAAUUCGUGUAAGGGCGGUCGGCGUCGCCACCGUACGACCCUAAGUAGGCCGACUUAAUAUUGAAAGAUUGAUUGGUGAGCAUGACCAGUUUAUGUUUUCAGAGCUUCUCCUAUCAUUCGAUUUAUUUUUAAAAAUGUUUAAACAAAAAUGCUUUAAAAGCUUCCACUUAACAUUAAAUGCACCCACCGCCGUAUUUUUGUUGCAAAUGACAAUGUUGCGCCACCUAGUGUCUUUUUUAACGAUAUUUGUAUCGAUAUAUAUGCCGGUUAAUGCCGUUCAUUCGGUGAACACGUCGCAAACGAACUUUCUGGCGCAGAAAUAAUUGUAUAUCUUCCAUGAUUAUGGACAUUAAUGAUAUAUCUUUAUUCCUCCUGAGAGCAUAUUUCAUAAUAUAUAUAUCCCCUGAUAAGCAAGUCGAGACUUUAACUUCCACUUUUCCGUGGAUUGUAUUACCUCCAGUUCUAUUGGCCGAGAGCCUCUCUGGCCACAAACUGCGAUGCCGCGAUCCCCUCCUCUUACCCCGCCAGCAGCUCGGCCGCUCCAGUGGUAAGAUAUACCUGGAGUUCCGGUUAAGUCGAGGAAGUUUGCGCUCGAUGAAGGCUGUCCACUUUAGGCGAUCGGCCACGAUUCAGUACGCCCCUCGGGUCAUGAUUCUUGUCGCGCAAGCCUGAGACCUUUAGUCU